UUUUAUUUCUUUUUGUCAUCAGUUAUGAAUAAAUUUGCUGAAUUUAUUUGAGUAAACUUUUUAAGGUGGGACAUAAAAGGACAAAUAUCUCUUCAAGAACCUUAGAUUUCUUAUUUCUGAUUUUUAUUCAAUAAUUAUUUUACAAUGUCAUUUUUAAGAUUUAAUAAAAAGCAGGAGGACUUGAAAUUCAUGAAGUGGUAGAUCUUAAACAUUUUAACCAGUCUUAAUCUAAAUAUUCAAUGACAACAAAAGUGGGAACUGAUUAGAUAACCAAGGCACUUUGAGAUUUGAUACUUUUAAUUGGACUAGACAAAAAUUAUAGUUUGUACAAGCUAAAUAAGUAAAUUAAGUUAAGCAUUCCUAUCAUGUUAAUGAUUAACAAAAUUAGAUGAUUAGUUCUUAUUUAACAGGGUGAUUUGUAAAGACAGGUUUAAGUGUUAAAAUAGCUAGAGAGGUUAUUUUUUCUUUGCGUAUCAAAAUUAUAUGAAAGGGUAUUAUAUAAAAGUAUCUAAAUAAAAGCUGACAAGGUAUUUCUGCCUCUUAUUAAUAAUAUUAAAUGACAGGUGAUCUUAAGUGUAAAAACAUGAUGUUAAUGUGGCCA
rnacentral:lncRNA from 1 species